rnacentral:rRNA from 1 species
CAGUCGAGCGAACAGAUGAGAAGCUUGCUUCUCUGAUGUUAGCGGCGGACGGGUGAGUAACACGUGGGUAACCUACCUAUAAGACUGGGAUAACUCCGGGAAACCGGGGCUAAUACCGGAUAAUAUUUUGAACCGCAUGGUUCAAUAGUGAAAGACGGUUUCGGCUGUCACUUAUAGAUGGACCCGCGCCGUAUUAGCUAGUUGGUAAGGUAACGGCUUACCAAGGCGACGAUACGUAGCCGACCUGAGAGGGUGAUCGGCCACACUGGAACUGAGACACGGUCCAGACUCCUACGGGAGGCAGCAGUAGGGAAUCUUCCGCAAUGGGCGAAAGCCUGACGGAGCAACGCCGCGUGAGUGAUGAAGGUCUUCGGAUCGUAAAACUCUGUUGUUAGGGAAGAACAAAUUUGUUAGUAACUGAACAAGUCUUGACGGUACCUAACCAGAAAGCCACGGCUAACUACGUGCCAGCAGCCGCGGUAAUACGUAGGUGGCAAGCGUUAUCCGGAAUUAUUGGGCGUAAAGCGCGCGUAGGCGGUUUCUUAAGUCUGAUGUGAAAGCCCACGGCUCAACCGUGGAGGGUCAUUGGAAACUGGGAAACUUGAGUGCAGAAGAGGAGAGUGGAAUUCCAUGUGUAGCGGUGAAAUGCGCAGAGAUAUGGAGGAACACCAGUGGCGAAGGCGGCUCUCUGGUCUGUAACUGACGCUGAUGUGCGAAAGCGUGGGGAUCAAACAGGAUUAGAUACCCUGGUAGUCCACGCCGUAAACGAUGAGUGCUAAGUGUUAGGGGGUUUCCGCCCCUUAGUGCUGCAGCUAACGCAUUAAGCACUCCGCCUGGGGAGUACGACCGCAAGGUUGAAACUCAAAGGAAUUGACGGGGACCCGCACAAGCGGUGGAGCAUGUGGUUUAAUUCGAAGCAACGCGAAGAACCUUACCAAAUCUUGACAUCCUUUGACCGCUCUAGAGAUAGAGUCUUCCCCUUCGGGGGACAAAGUGACAGGUGGUGCAUGGUUGUCGUCAGCUCGUGUCGUGAGAUGUUGGGUUAAGUCCCGCAACGAGCGCAACCCUUAAGCUUAGUUGCCAUCAUUAAGUUGGGCACUCUAGGUUGACUGCCGGUGACAAACCGGAGGAAGGUGGGGAUGACGUCAAAUCAUCAUGCCCCUUAUGAUUUGGGCUACACACGUGCUACAAUGGAUAAUACAAAGGGCAGCGAAUCCGCGAGGCCAAGCAAAUCCCAUAAAAUUAUUCUCAGUUCGGAUUGUAGUCUGCAACUCGACUACAUGAAGCUGGAAUCGCUAGUAAUCGUAGAUCAGCAUGCUACGGUGAAUACGUUCCCGGGUCUUGUACACACCGCCCGUCACACCACGAGAGUUUGUAACACCCGAAGCCGGUGGAGUAAC